GAACUCACAGCGAGACAUCUCAAAGCGAGAUGUUAAUAUGUAGUUAAAUGGGUCUCUACAGCUGCUGUCGGUACGAGUGAGGACACGGCUUGGAUACAAUCUACCAAGAAUAUAUUUACAGGCGACUGAAUAACAUUCAAUAAGUGGUUUUAUUAAUCUGUAACCUAGGAUAUUCAGAGGGUGUCAACACAAUCGCUUCCACAACAUAAAUAUUGGUCUCUACAGCUGCUGUCGGUACGAGUGAGGACACGGCUUGGAUACAAUCUACCAAGAAUAUAUUUACAGGCGACUGAAUAACAUUCAAUAAGUGGUUUUAUUAAUCUGUAACCUAGGAUAUUCAGAGGGUGUCAACACAAUCGCUUCCACAAC